GAGGUGGUGCAAUGGGUCAGCGCGUCUGGCGGUUAACCUGAAGGUUGGUGGUUCGAGCCCACUCAGGGACA